UACAGAGGUCUCAAGCGUCGUUCGGAUUCAUUGGGCGUAAAGGGUGCGUAGGUGGCGCUGUAAGUCGGGUGUGAAAUUUCGGAGCUUAACUCCGAAACUGCAUUCGAUACUGCGGUGCUCGAGGACUGGAGAGGAGACUGGAAUUCAUGGUGUAGCAGUGAAAUGCGUAGAGAUCAUGAGGAAGACCAGUGGCGAAGGCGGGUCUCUGGACAGUUCCUGACACUGAGGCACGAAGGCCAGGGGAGCAAACGGG
rnacentral:rRNA from 1 species